GCAUUCUUCAAAUUCAUGCUUGUCAUACUCCAGGAAAACAUGGAAGCUGCAGAAGUCUGGAAAAUAGAAAAAAACUUGGCUUCCUUGCUGUGUUCCGAGAAAGGAGCACAGCGAAGAAAUGUAGAAGGGAAGAGAUCACCAAGCGAGCAUCUCUCUCCAUUGUGAGCUCUCUGCAGGUCAAGCAACGAGGAGUACCGUGGUGACUGAAGCUAUCCCCUGAGCCAGCAUUGCUUUGACAACGUUAGAAUCAUAGAAGCAUAGAGUUGGAAGGGACCAUAAGGAUCAUCUCGUCCAACCACC